UACGGAGGGUGCGAGCGUUAUCCGGAUUCACUGGGUUUAAAGGGUGCGUAGGUGGGAUGUAAGUCAGUGGUGAAAUCUCUGAGCUUAACUCAGAAACUGCCAUUGAUACUAUGUGUCUUGAAUAUUGUGGAGGUAAGCGGAAUAUGUCAUGUAGCGGUGAAAUGCUUAGAUAUGACAUAGAACACCUAUUGCGAAAGGCAGCUUACUACGCAUAUAUUGACGCUGAGGCACGAAAGCGUGGGGGAUCAAAACAGG
rnacentral:rRNA from 1 species